CAAGUGAAAUGAAGGUGUUUGGGUUUUGUUUUAGAGGGCAGGGUUGAGGUUUGGUUUGGUUUGGUUUGGUUUGGUUUGGUUUGGUUUGGUUGAAAAGAGAACUCCUUGGAGUCGAAGGGACUCUGGAAGAGAAAUGCCAGAAGCUAGUUUCCUUGACACUGGUACAUUUACUGCUUGCUCUUGGCAAAAGCUGACAGUGGGCCAGAGUGCAGGCUCAUCUUCUCAGAGUAGGUCUGAAAAAAAGGUUAUGAUCCAUCCGAUAUCCUCUGUGCCAAAUAUAAAGUGUGCAUAUGUACACAAAAGCAGUUUCCCAGCCUGUUCUCUAUAGAGUCCUUUUCCUCUGCAUGUGAGAUUUGAGUGGUAACUGCUCAAUUCUGAUAGCUAAAAUAGAGCAGCCCUUGGGUGUCCUGAUUAAAAACAGACCCGCAAAGCCACGCUCAAGCUGACUUUGGGCUACUAUUCUUUGUGAAACAAACAGGUAGUAUUGUCACUUAUGGAGAAAAGAAUAACCCUGUCUACAGUGACCAGGACACUUCGAUUAUUUGUCUAAGCCUGGUAGGAUUUGUUAAGUGACUCUUGACUUCUUAGCUGUUGCUUUCUGAAUGAAAUGAACUCACUAAGGCUUAAAUAUUUCUGACUAGUGUGUGAAGUGAGUCUCCUUAACAUCUCUCCAUCUAGGAUGUUAAAAGGCCCGACCCAGUCAUUCCCAAAGGAAAUUGCCCAGCUUCCAUUCUCUCUCUGAGUAGAAAAUCUGUGUAACAGAUGACAGUUUACUGCCUGCUGUGGCAAUGAGGAGGGAACCACCUUUGAAAGAACUACACGAAGCUUCUAGCUGCUGGAAGAAGUGUGCCUUCCUGGCUUUUAAGUAACUGAUCAUUUGCACUAAGGAAGUAGGUGGUGUAGACAGGAAGGAAAGGUAGGUAAAGGAAAAGGUAAACGUCAGCAUUUGAUAUUUUGAGCAAGAGUAAAAAAUUUCUACCACAAAUGUAAAGUCAGAUCAUCUUCUGCCCUAAUGUGUUGUCUUGCUCACUCACUCACUCACUCACUCCCCUUCCUUUGCCCCAUAGCUCUUUGUCCUUUUAGUACUGGGUGUUGAGCCCAAGAAUCUGCAGCAUGCUGAGUAAGCACUCUGCCACUGAACUGUCAUUCCAGAUCCAAAUCUUUCUGCAACAGCUAAGCAAGUGCUGGUCUGAUCCCAGUGUGACCCCCUCGCUCCAUCCCCUGGUCCUUGAGGAAAACAAGUGCCAUCUAUAGGCCAAGGAAGUGCGCUCUGUGCUCCCAGGGUCCGUUUUCACCUGCUGGUCUGCUCACAGCUUUGGCCUCCUCACUGUUUUAUGUUCUAAUGGAUCAAUUACUCAGGACUCAGUCACUUCCUUUUCCUUUAAGACAUCUUAGCAGCAGCGCUCUGCACUGAGGGUUCUCAGUCUCCCUAGUGAGGGAAAGUGCAUUGGCAGAGCGCUUACAUUUCCUGGUGCCUGUUGUUUAGGAUGGGCUACUCUGGCACUGCCUGUGAAAGGCAGAGGAGGUGAGGGCAAGAGAGGAACAGCAAUGCAGCAGACCUUUGAUUCCCUUCAGAUGGACCUAUUCUGAAGGAAGGAACGAUAUCCAACUCUUUUCUCUGGUGCUUAUUUAACGGGUGACAGCUGUCUCCCGGCUACCUGUCCCUGGCACUGUGCCUUCCCACUGGUCACUGUGAAAAAUAGAUCACACUGGACUCAGAGGCCAGAACCCAGGACAAGAUCCCUCUUCUUCUCUUGAGCCCAUUUCUUCUUCACACAGCUUCUAAUGUAGCAGGAACUUCUCUUUGAGAACGUCGGGGGUUCAUCCCAAGAAACCUCCGCAAAACAGAGGGAAACAAUUAGAUUUGGGUUAUAGUUGUCACAUUACGAAAUCACAAAAAGAUUUCACUUCAGCUGCUAUUGAGUGACAGUGGGAAUCAAACUGCAGCCUCCUCCAGUUUCUGAAGCUGCCGCAAUAGCGUUUGAAAGCAGCAGGUAUCUGACUAGUUCCCACUAGUUCCUCAAGGAGAGUCUAUACCGAAAGAGACAAUCACUUUCUAAAACAUUGGUCCUGGGUGGGAAUGGGGUAGAUUAUUGUUAACUCCCAGUCUGUUUUCUCCCUAUGAAAAGAGUCUAACACUUGAGAUGUGUGUCUUACAUCUGCAACAGUUAUGCCGUUAAUAGUAAAGAUGCCUCAGAAAAUACCGCAGGGUAGCGCUCCCAUACCUCUGAGAAGGCGGGGCUGGCUGUGUGCAUCUUGUCUCCUAAGACUGUUUUCUGUUGUGACCUUAACUAUAAAUACCUAUAUAUAGGAGUAGGAUGUUCUCCCCCCCCCCCAAGCCUUCUUCAAUCAUCACAUGUGAACCCUCCCUUCCCCUUUACUGAAAAAAACAAAAACAAAAAAACAAAAACAAGAAGUAUGCACUUUAAUUCCUAAGGAGUGUGGCUGAAGCCAGAUCACUCAGGAGGGAAGCUGAGGGAAAACUGUUGCCAGACCUUGUUGGGUUUAACCACAUUUCUUUGUCCUUUACCCCAUAGUGCUGGGGAUUGAGCCCAGGGCCUUACAUAGGCUAGGCAGCUGCUGCUCCAGGAUCAGAUAUCUUAAUGUGAACACAAAAUGACGCGUUUUUAAAGCUGUCCCCAAGUGCUCCCUGCCAAAGGGCAAAAGAACCACUAAAUAAGAGUUCAAAAUACCUACCCUGAUUUUGGAAUUUUUUUCUGGGGGAAAUUUUAUUUUCACUGAAUUAUUUUUUUAGCUGCCAAAUUAUAUCUUUAAAAAAUCGUGUUUUGUGGUAAGUUCCUUUUUCUUUUCUUUUUCUUUCUUUUUUUUUUUUUUGGAAUAAAAAAAUCAAGCGGAAACAAUGGCACUAAAAUAUUAUCCAGAAUUGUGUCACAUCUAAGUACUGGGCUUGGUUCCCCCUGUGUGACAGGGGACCCUGACUCUCCUCCUGUAGAUUCUGUCUUUCCCUGGACAAGC
rnacentral:lncRNA from 1 species